ensembl:lncRNA
UGAUGUAUUUGCUGCUUCUGUGACCUCUCUGAUAUUGAGUGCUGUGACUUUAUACGUACCAGUGAGUGAAGAGUGAGAGAACAGGAAGGUUGUUUCUUGGUGGACUGAAGGGUGCACUGCGAUUACGGGAGAAAUAAAUAGUGUUUACUGAGUGUUGUGUAGGAACUUGAUUCCCGAGAAUCUAAUUGGUCGCCAAACAAAAAUAACUUUAGUAUGUAGGGUCACGAAGUCUGUCAAGAGAAAUGCAUGGAGACAGUUCUGCUCUACGAUAGGCAGGGGGAUGUAUGGUCUGUGUUGAAGAAGAUGACUUAAAGAAGCAAGUCCACUCGAAUUCCAGUUUUGGUUGUGGGUCAAAAACUCACCCUGAGCAAGGCACACUGGGAAAGGGGAGAGGUGUACACCUGCAGGGUGGUCCUCGACGAUAUCAGUGAAUUCCGCCGCAUUCCAGAAAAGUCACUGUUGUCUAGAGACGGGAGAGGCAAUUGUAGGGGGCUAGAGAGUCCCCACAUGGUGCUAGUUCUGGAAACAAUGUUUUAGAGCUAACUGUUACAGUAUAAUAGUGAAUAAUAUCAUUAGUGCUGUGUGCUAAAUUAACUACUUUGAGAUUAAGUUGUACGUGUCUUCUUUCCUCUGAGAUCACAUACAGUUUGUUUUAAUUGAAAUAUAACCACAAAAGUUACUUUAAUCACGAUUACUGUGAUCACAGUCUAAUGAAGGCAGAACAUUUCAUACAAAUUUUGAUUGAAAAGGAACCUAACCUAAGAUCUGCUCUCAGAACUCACACUGCUAAACAGUACAUUUCCAUAACUUAUUUAUUAUUAAAUGUGUAUUUACUAAUAUGAUUUUAUUAAAUCGUUUCUGCU